UGAAUUUUUAAUUUGGAUGAAUGCUUAGACUAUGUUGUCUGAGCAUUUUGAAUCAUCAUUUAUGAAUAGGAAGAUCUGAUGA